CUUAGCCCUUUAGACUGGGAUAACANAGGGAAACUUCUGAUAAUAACUGGAUAAGUUAGUAUAUCGCAUGAUAUGCAAAUGAAAGCUACGGCACUAAAGGAGAGCUUUGCGUCCUAUUAGCUAGUUGGUAAGGUAAGAGCUUACCAAGGCGAUGAUAGGUAGCCGGCCUGAGAGGGUGGACGGCCACAAGGGGACUGAGAUACGGCCCUUACUCCUACGGGAGGCAGCAGAC
rnacentral:rRNA from 1 species